AGCUCAGUGGUAGAGCACUUGCCUAGUAUGUCUGAGGUCCUGGGUUCGAACCCCAG
rnacentral:tRNA from 1 species